UAGUGGCGAACGGGUGAGUAACACGUGGGCAAUCUGCCCUGCACUCUGGGACAAGCCCUGGAAACGGGGUCUAAUACCGGAUACGACACACGACCGCAUGGUCUGUGUGUGGAAAGCUCCGGCGGUGCAGGAUGAGCCCGCGGCCUAUCAGCUUGUUGGUGGGGUAAUGGCCUACCAAGGCGACGACGGGUAGCCGGCCUGAGAGGGCGACCGGCCACACUGGGACUGAGACACGGCCCAGACUCCUACGGGAGGCAGCAGUGGGGAAUAUUGCACAAUGGGCGAAAGCCUGAUGCAGCGACGCCGCGUGAGGGAUGACGGCCUUCGGGUUGUAAACCUCUUUCAGCAGGGAAGAAGCGCAAGUGACGGUACCUGCAGAAGAAGCGCCGGCUAACUACGUGCCAGCAGCCGCGGUAAUACGUAGGGCGCAAGCGUUGUCCGGAAUUAUUGGGCGUAAAGAGCUCGUAGGCGGCUUGUCGCGUCGGAUGUGAAAGCCCGGGGCUUAACCCCGGGUCUGCAUUCGAUACGGGCAGGCUAGAGUUCGGUAGGGGAGAUCGGAAUUCCU
rnacentral:rRNA from 1 species